rnacentral:rRNA from 1 species
GAGACAGCAGCCGCCGCGGGAAUACGGAGGGUGCAAGCGUUAAUCGGAAUUACUGGGCGUAAAGCGCACGCAGGCGGUCUGUCAAGUCAGAUGUGAAAUCCCCGGGCUUAACCUGGGAACUGCAUUUGAAACUGGCAGGCUAGAGUCUUGUAGAGGGGGGUAGAAUUCCAGGUGUAGCGGUGAAAUGCGUAGAGAUCUGGAGGAAUACCGGUGGCGAAGGCGGCCCCCUGGACAAAGACUGACGCUCAGGUGCGAAAGCGUGGGGAGCAAACAGGAUUAGAUACCCGCGUAGUCCCUGUCUCUUAUAC